rnacentral:rRNA from 1 species
AUUGAACGCUGGCGGCAGGCCUAACACAUGCAAGUCGAACGGUAACAGGAAGCAGCUUGCUGCUUCGCUGACGAGUGGCGGACGGGUGAGUCAUGUCUGGGAAACUGCCUGAUGGAGGGGGAUAACUACUGGAAACGGUAGCUAAUACCGCAUAACGUCGCAAGACCAAAGAGGGGGACCUUAGGGCCUCUUGCCAUCGGAUGUGCCCAGAUGGGAUUAGCUAGUAGGUGGGGUAACGGCUCACCUAGGCGACGAUCCCUAGCUGGUCUGAGAGGAUGACCAGCCACACUGGAACUGAGAAACGGUCCAGACUCCUACGGGAGGCAGCAGUGGGGAAUAUUGCACAAUGGGCGAAAGCCUGAUGCAGCCAAGCCGCGUGUAUGAAGAAGGACUUCGGGUUGUAAAGUACUUACAGCGGGGAGGAAGGAAGUAAAGUUAAUACCUUUGCACAUUGACGUUACCCGCAGAAGAAGCACCGGCUAACUCCGUG